AACGAACGCCGGCGGCAGGCUUAACACAUGCAAGUCCAACGCCCCGCAAGGGGAGUGGCAGACGGGUGAGUAACGCGUGGGAAUCUACCCAGAUCUUCGUAACAACUGAGGGAAACUUCAGCUAAUACCGGAUACGCCCUACGGGGGAAAGAUUUAUCGGAUUUGGAUGAGCCCGCGUUUGAUUAGCUAGUUGGUGGGGUAAUGGCCUACCAAGGCGACGAUCCAUAGCUGGUCUGAGAGGAUGAUCAGCCACACUGGGACUGAGAUACGGCCCAGACUCCUACGGGAGGCAGCAGUGGUGAAUAUUGGAGAAUGGGCGAAAUCCUGAUCCAGCCAUUCCGCGUGAGUGAUGCAGGCCUUAGGGUUGGAAAGCUCUUUCGGUAGGGAAGAUAAUGACGGUACUUACGGAAGAAGCCCCGUCUAACUUCGUGCCAGCCGCCGCCGUAAUAC
rnacentral:rRNA from 1 species